rnacentral:rRNA from 1 species
AGCAGCCGCGGUAAUUCCAGCUCCAAUAGCGUAUAUUAAAGUUGUUGCAGUUAAAAAGCUCGUAGUUGAAUUUCGGGAUUGACGUGAUGGUCGUGCCUUAAGGGGUAUGAACUGUCGCAGUUGAUUUCUCACCUUCUGGAGAAGCAUGAUGUCCUUAAUUGGGUGUCAUGUGGAACCAGGACCUUUACCUUGAAAAAUUAGAGUGUUUAAAGCAGGCAUUUUGCUCGAAUACAUUAGCAUGGAAUAAUAGAAUAGGACGGCAUGGUUCUAUUUUGUUGGUUUCUAGGAUCACCGUAAUGAUUAAUAGGGAUAGUUGGGGGCAUUAGUAUUCAAUUGUCAGAGGUGAAAUUCUUGGAUUUAUUGAAGACUAACUACUGCGAAAGCAUUUGCCAAGGGUGUUUUCAUUAAUCAAGAACGAAAGUUAGGGGAUCGAAGACGAUCAGAUACCGUCGUAGUCUUAACCGUAAACUAUGCCGACUAGGAAUCAGACGAUGUUAAUUUUUAAUGUACUCGUUUGGCU